ensembl:lncRNA
CAGUUUCCAGAAAUGCUCAGGGGCUGGGGAUUCCCCACCUGUGCAGAACCAAGUAGGCAACUUCUGACAGGGAAGCAGCCGCCUUCAGGCUUGCCCUUGUCACAGGGCCCUGACACUGAGGGUGUGGGGGCCGGGAGCUGCCCUGGGUGAAAACACCACAGACUCUCAUUGGUCUCCCUCAGCCUCAGAUGCUCCUCGGUGGGUUGUGUGCCUUCGGUCUCUUGGCAGAGUGCUGACCUGGUGGUUUUCUGCCGGCUUCUCCAGUGUGGUCAUUGCUGUGCGGGAGGCGGAUUUGCUGAAUUCCUCGCUCCACCAUUCCGUGUGUCCUGCCAGCCCACCCUGAGGACGUUUGGAAGGCACAUCCUUCCAGCAAUCUGAGCACCCAAGAUGGAGACUCCGGGGCCUGGAGGAUUUUGAGAAGAGCUGGUGGGAAGGCAGUACUGCAAAGCUUUUUGCUUCCGGAAAGCUCUCUGGGGUCCUCAGCAUUUUCCUGUUUUGCAUCAAAAUCCUGAGAUCUUGAAAAUGCCAGCAAGCAGAGGAGCCGUGCACGUCUUCUCUCCAUUCUUUCCUGUGCAUGACUGGCCUCCUCUGUUCAGAAGCGGAUUGCUGGUGCUCAUCACUCCCCCUCACCCGAGAGAUGGCCGUCUUCCAUGUCACACAGCAGAUGUGAACCGCGGGGACAAGGGUCACGCCAGGUCACACUCACUGGCUGGGUGCUGUGCAGGCUCUGAUCCUUGUCCAACAGUCCCUGAGGACGGCAGCCUUUUCCCCACGCCUGCCGCUACGCUGUUCCUGCCCAGCUUCUCUUCCCUCGGGGAGCUGGACUCCGUGUCCCGAGUGGACCUCUGCAAAGACAGUGACCAACAGUCAGCCCAGAAGCAUCAGAGCCCUGCUCAGCUGCCUCUGCUCUUUCUUCUGCCCUCUGCGCCUAAUGCUCCCACAUCAGGCACCACCCUGUGUCUGCGCAGAAUUCUCCCCAGGAUGAAACAGAUAGACCUCAGGGGCUCGGGAGAAACCUCGGGCAGACGGUGCUGCCCGGCACUCCACGUCCCACCUGAUCAGCCAUGAGCUGGGGUGGGAAUGGGACCGGCCCACCAGGCUUCUAACCCCUCAUCAGCCUGCUCCUCCUCGUGGUGGUCCACUCACACAAACCACCCUUCCACCCCCCCCCCACACACACAGGGAGGGGGCGUAGGGCUGUCCAAGUGAGACCACAUUGGUGGCCUGGCCUUGAUUUCCCACCCUGGCCGUCCCCGUGUUACCUUUGUGUCCCUCCACACAAACGUCCUGAGAUGUCUCGAGCGGGACAGGAGCCCGCAUCUGCAUCCUGGGCACUCCUUGCGGGCUCUGCUGAGGCUGCGGCCCUGGCACAUGGGAAGACAACAGGAAAUCAUGGUGCUCCUUCUAGACGACUGCUAGAUGAGUGAGCUGUUGGGGGCUGUCUCUAGGAGCUGGGAACUUAAUGCUCAGGAAUUGUACAAUUUAAAAGGAGAAAACACAGAUGUCUUAAAAUAUAAAUCCAUAAAUCUAUUUCAAGGUGACACAAACACCACAACAAGACAAGAAAAUGAAAAUUAGAAACGGCUACACAGAUAUACAGGUUAAGGUGGGAGACGAAGGGAGGUUGUGGUGAGGAAGAAGGUGAAAGGGAUGGGUCAGGAGCUGGGGAUGAUGGGCGUUGGAGAGUGAGCUCUCCCGAGGACAGGGCUGGGGCAUGAGCAGGCUCCAGGAUUCCAGGAGGAUGUGGAGCAGGGGAUGGCUGUCCGUGGUCUCCAGCUGUGGCUUCAGCUGGCUCGCUAGCCCCAGCAGGAGGCAGAUCAGUGGAUGGCUCUUUCUGGACCGUGGCUGGGGCUUCAGCAGUCUCCCAGGCACAGGCAGAAUCUGGAGCAGGGGAUGGCUCUCCCUCUUCCCUGGCUGCGACUUCAGCUUGCUCCUGGGCCCUGGCAGGAGCUGGAGCAGGGCAUGGCUCUCCCUGCUCCAUGGCUGAGUCUUCAGCCAGGCCAGAGUCCCAGCAGGAGCCGGAGCAGGGGAUGGCUCUCCCAGCUCCUGGGCCCUGUCUUCAGCUGGCUCCACAGCCCAGCAGGAGCUGAAAAGUCAAAGCCCGUGUCUUUCCAGUGCUGGCAGUCCCCCUCUCCCUCUCCCAAGCUCCGCUCACAAAGCCAACCUGUGGCUGUGACAGCAGUGCCCGGCUGUCCCCUGCCCUGGAUUACAAUGGGCACAGAUAUAUUGGGGGGUUUCCUGCCAACCUCUGCCCAGUGUCCACUCACAGAGUGGCAUCAAAACUUCCUCAGUCCCAGGACUGGCGUGCUCUGCUCUCAUCUGCGAGCUCCCCAAGGUCCCCUCUCUUAGCUGGGGCUGGGGAGGACCCUACAUGUCCCCACAUCCAGACCCAGUGGCUCAGAAAGGUGGCCCAAGAUGGCCAUGGGGUCCUAAAGGUCAGCCUGGGAGAUGCUGCCAGGAGGGUCCUGUGGUAGGUGGGCAAGUUUCUCUUGGUGCCAUCAGCUUGGGGUGGGGGCCACGACUUUCCUGUCUCUCCAGAGCCUUCUCUGCUGACCUCCAUGGCUUCCUCUGUCACCUCACAGGGGAUGAGCCCCACCAGACCCUGCAUUUCCUUGUGGACACCACACUGGUCACCGAGGCCAUGCUGCCCGGUGGGGAGGCCACAGUGGGCAUCUCUGAGUUCCCCAGCUCCCUCUCUUCCACCAGAGGCCUGUGGCCUGCAGAGGGUGGGAGGGGAGCCUGCUGGUGCUUGGGGGGCUCUGGAACCCCUGAAUCUUGAGAGUUGAGGUGUGCACACCUCUCCAGCUUGGAUGAGUGCCUGGGCAGAGGGCAGUGGCAUGGGCAGCACCUCUUGGGGGACUUGGGAGACCCCCGUGGAGGAUGGAGAUGCAGAGCCAGCCCCGCCCAACUCUCUGUGGGUGAGGACUGGGGCUGAGGGAGAAGGAGGUUUGUAGGGAACCAGGGGAGCCCAUGCCGAGGGUGGAGCCAGAGCAGACAUUUCUAAUUGGAGUGAGGGAAGCGGUGCCCAGGGCUCCCCCUGUCCCUGCCUCUCCCCUCCUUGGCUUUCACCACUCUGGACUGUACAGGGAUGGGGUGGGCGAGGGGCGAGGGGUGGGGGUAGUGUAGACGGUUUGAGCUUUUCUCACCAGGGAGAGGCACAGAGGCAAAGACACAAGCUCAGAGCCAAGGUGGUGGCUCCCAGCGCCCACUCACCCCGCCUCUCGGCAGCCUGGCCCAGGAACCCCGUUUCCCUCCCUGUGCCGCCUGCCUCCCCACCCUGAGCCCAGAGACCCUCAGCCCCCAUGGGGCAUCUUCCUCAGGCCUCCCUGAGCCAGGCUGCCCUCAGGGUCUGCCUUUGCCUGGAGGAAACGUGGUAAUGGGCUCUUGGGCCUGAACAUGGGAUCAAGGGUCACCCAAGAUGGCAGCGCCCAGCAUGGGAUUUCUCUGACAUUUUCUUCAUGUCACACAAGGGACCUGAGCUCCACGUGGGCAGGAAACAUAUUGGGUUUUGCUCCCUGGUGAAGUUACAGUGCUGGGCACACAAGCAGGGAAUAGAGGCCACUGGCUGAAUGAUUAAAAGAAUGAAUUCCUACCUGAACGAAUGAACGGAUGAGGAACAAGUGAAGGCCUGAAUGAAUGAAUGACUGGAUGAAUGAGUGAGUGAGUGAGGCCAUGAGUGAAUGAGUGGAUGAAUAAGCCAGUGAACGGAAACACAGACGCCGCGAUGCAAACGGGAGGAGGCUCUAUUUCUUGUCCUGGGGCCUCUGCCCAGCUCAAGGGCCCAGCCAGUCCCUGGCGCUCCUGGCCUCCGUUUCCCCACUGUCCCCUGAGGGGCGGGUGGUGGGGCUGCAGCAGCCCAGCUUGGCAUGGCCAUGGCCGGGAUCUCCCCGCGGGCUGUGGCGGGGACGCGCUCGGGGCCGCACGGCCUCCCUCCAGCGGCGGACAUGGGCGGA